rnacentral:lncRNA from 1 species
AGAGAUGACAGAUAUUCAAAGAUGGAAUGAAAGAGGUUUGGUGACUGGAUAUAAGCAACGAAACAGGAAGAAUUGAAUUUGGGUCUGAUAUUUCCUGGAUGCAAGAUCAGGAGGAUGUUGGCACCAUGGCUUAGUGGGGAAACUGGGGACCGAUUCUGGAGGUAUACCAGCAUGGUGAGUUUGGUUUUAGAUGGGUUGUGUUUGACAUAGGGCUAGCAAUUCUAAGUGAAGAUGUCUAAAGAAAGAUAGAAGUGACUCAGCUCUGAAGUUCUGAAAUGAUCAGCCAUCAGCGUGGCAUGAGGAAGACCUAGGAACAGACAGACUGGGGAGAAGACACAGAGCCAAGCAGGACCUGGCCUGCAGCCCAAACCCUGUGGAAUCCCUACAUUCAAGGACCAGGUUGAAGUGAAGCCAUUGACAGGAACUGAGAUGCAGUAGUGUUCUGGAAGUCAAGUGAGGAGGAGGAUUGAAGAAGAGGGGGGUUGCCCAGUGGAAACACCAGACUGCAAAGCUUUGAGAAGUCUGUAUGAGAUGAACAACUGGAAAAGGUUCUUCGUGAAGAAUUUGUGUGGUGAAGAGCUGGAAUAGCGGCUUGAGGGAGAGAAGCCAGGUGAGAAAACUCAGGAUGUUUGUGUCUUUGGAGGGAAGAGAUAAAGGAGAAAGGAUGACGAAGCUGGUGGGGGCCUAGCACCUGAGAAGGGUGGAGGCCAUGAGGAGAAAUGAGUUUUGAAGGAGAGGGGAUACCUCUUCCAGACAGCAGGAGAGGAAGCAGGGAGAGCAGGAAGAUAAAGAUACAUUUUGAUGGGGAAGAGAUAGGUUUUUUUUUUUUGAGACAGAGUCUUUCUCUGUUACCCAGGCUGGAGUGCAGUGACUUGAUCUCGGCUCACUGCAAACUCUGCCUCCCAGGUUCAAGCGAUUCUCCU